rnacentral:rRNA from 1 species
UAACCUGCCCAAGAGAUCGGGAUAACACCUGGAAACAGAUGCUAAUACCGGAUAACAACAGAUGAUGCCUAUCAACUGUUUAAAAGAUGGUUCUGCUAUCACUCUUGGAUGGACCUGCGGUGCAUUAGCUAGUUGGUAGGGUAACGGCCUACCAAGGCGAUGAUGCAUAGCCGAGUUGAGAGACUGAUCGGCCACAUUGGGACUGAGACACGGCCCAAACUCCUACGGGAGCAGCAGUA